ACUCUUAAAACCUAAUGAGUAGGGGGUUGUAGAAAUGGCUCAGUGGUUAAGAGCUCUGUCUGUUCUUCCAGAUGUCCUGACUUUAAUUCCCAGAAACCACGUGGUGGCUCACAAUCAUCUAUCAUAGCAUCUGAUGCCAUCCUGUGGCAUGCAGGUCCGCUGUCCUACUCUUGUGACUACCUCAAAGAAAGGAAUUAAAAACGGAAAGAAAAGAAAAAAAAUACAUCAAGUCCAAAUUAUAC